rfam:Felis catus isolate Cinnamon breed Abyssinian chromosome A2, whole genome shotgun sequence.
UCCUGGGUGGCUCAGUCUGUUGAGCGUCUGACUUCGGCUCAGGUCACGAUCUCACAUUUUGUGGGUUCGAGCCCCGCGUCAGGCU